UUGGCUUGAGUGGUUGUUUGGGCAAACCCUAGCCUAGAUGUUGCCCAGAAGGUAUUUUGUGGAUGAGAUUAGCAUCUAUAAUCUGUUGACUUUAAGUAAAAGAGAUCAUUCGACCAUUCUCUAUAAUAUGAGUGGGCCUCCUCCAGUCACUUGAGCAAGAAAGUUUCCCAAGGAAGAAGAAAUUCUGCCUCAAGACGACAUAUACUCCUGGCCUGCCGCCUGUUUUUAAUUACUUCAAGUCCAAGGCCUGCUUCCUCGAAUUGCCACAACCUUGCGCCACUGUGGGUGAGCAGAUUCUGAGGCCGGGGAGGCAGCCACUCGUGAAGGCUCGAAGGGCCACAGCUGCUGUAGUAGCAGCAGCACCUGCCCCCCACCCCGCGUCCCAGCCCCCUGCAGCUCAGUCCCCGGAUCAGACACUGCAGUAAUUGCUUUUGGAAACAGGGAGACCCGUGGAGUGGCUCCAGCAGUUUUCCUUUCCUUUCGGGUUAUACUGAAUCAUUAAUGAAUGCAUUUAUUUAUUGAAUUUUCAGCUUGUUCAGUAAGGUGUAGCAGAGUGUGCAUAUGAGAGAAUGGAAAAAAAAAAAAAAGAGAAUAAAUUAAAUGUCAUU